GUGGAGCUGUAGGGGGCAGAUGUGGGGCUGUAGGGCAGAUGUGGGGCUGUAGGGCAGAUGUGGAGCUGUAGGGGCAGAUGUGGAGCUGUAGGGGCAGAUGUGGAGCAGAUGGUGGUUUGUGGGGCAGAUAGUGUUGGUUUGUGGGGCAGAUGGUGGUUUGUGGGGCAGAUAUUGUUUUGUGGGGCAGAUGGUGGUUUGUGGGGCGGAUAUUGUUUUGUGGGGCAGAUGGUGGUUUGUGGGGCGGAUAGUGUUGGUUUGUGGGGCAGAUGGUGGUUUGUGGGGCGGAUAGUGUUGGUUUGUGGGGCAGAUGGUGGUUUGUGGGGCAGAUAAUGUUGGUUUGUGGGGCAGAUGGUGGUUUGUGGGGCAGAUAAUGUUGGUUUGUGGGGCAGAUGGUGGUUUGUGGGGCAGAUAAUGUUGGUUUGUGGGGCAGAUGGUGGUUUGUGGGGCAGAUAGUGUUGGUUUGUUGUUUAUUUCAUGUAAAUCUGAAUUUUUCUGAUUUCUUUAUUAAUAUCGUCUAUCAGGUUGUAAAUUCACAGCGUUAAUUUUCAGAAAAAACUUUCUAAACUUUAGAAAUGUAAAAUCAAAAUUAUAUAAAUUGACUCAAAACAAUGACAAUAAAGGCAUUUGAUUUGAAAACAAAUUAUAUCAAUCUAAAUUUACUGAUAUUAUUCAUAAAUAUAGAUUUACUGAAAAUAAAUUAUUUAAAUAUAAAUGUACUAAAAAUACAUUAUAUAAAAAUAGAUUUAACAAAAAUAAAUUAUAUAAAUAUAAAUUAACUGAAAAUAAAUAAUAUUAAUAUAGAUUUUUUGCGCCUUCAGAUGAUUCUUCUGAUUUUCCUUCUUAGAUUCCACCAUCGUUUUCUUCAGGCUGAAUUCCAGAGAAAAUAAAAAGCACAACGGAUGAAGGAUUUAGAGGAUUCCUGCUUGGAGGACGACGGCUGAACAAACACUGAUCCUCUGCUGGCUCUGAGUGCUGCUGGCGCUCCUCCAGGUCCAUGAUCGCUCCGUCAGGUCCUCCAUGAUGCUUCCUCUUUCCUCACUUCCCUCAGCAAACAAACAGCUCCAACAUAACGUCGAGGUAGCUCACAGCUGGAGAACGGAUCAUCUCCAUCUGGACGAGAACCUUCAGGAGCACGUCCGUAGACUGGAGGUCAGCAGGAAGCGGCUGAUUUCUGCUACGUGACUCAGGAUUCCUGCUGAUGGAGGCUGAGAUGUUCUUUAAACCUGGAGCAGGAUGGCAAUCAGAGGAGCCUCAGUAAUCAGAUUACUUUUGUCUCUGGUAUCAGAUUACUAACUACAGAUUUCAUGGAUUAGAUUCAGGCUCCACAGCAGGAACUCAGUGGAACUAAGGUGAGGUUCUUUGGUUCCUCCUUCAGUCCUCCUCAUGGAGGAAACCAGAGUCCACUCAUUUCUGCUCACAUCUUCUCACAUUCUUCUCUGUGUUCUUCAGCUGCUCUUUGCUGUAGGGGUUCUGUUGCUCUACCUUUCUCUGGAGAACACCUCAAAGGUUCUGCUGGCUUCAGGACUCACUGUCCAGGUCCUAGUUCCACUUGGUUCUAGAGGAGAAGCUCUGAUGUGAUGUUGUUCUCUGGAUGUUCUCCUGCUGGAAUAUUCCUCUUCUCCAUCUGGUCAGCCAGUAUUGUGGUUCCUCCUCAGACCUUCAUGCUGCAUCUAGAAAUGUCUUCAACACCUUCUGACCUCAUGCAGCCCCAGAUCAUCAUACUCCCACCUCCGUGCUUCACUGUCAGGACUCUGCAUCCACUGUGGUAGUCCUGGUCAGGUUCUCACCAAACAUCUGGACUCCAUCUGAGCCCAACUCACUGAUCUUCAUCUGACCAAAGAAUGUUCUCCAACAUCCAUCAGGCUUCUUCUCAUGUUCUUCAGCAAAUUUUCAUCUGGAAGUUUAGUUCUGAGCAGCAACCAGGUUUAGUUCUGGUCCUCCGUCCAUAGAGGUUGAUGUUCUGAAGGUUCCUUCACACUGUCUGAGCUUCACACUAACUCUGGUUUCCAUGGAGAACCCCUGAGCCAAGUCUGAAGCAGCUGCUGUCUGGAGAAAGUAGUUCACUGUCUGUGGAGUCAUUUUAGGAGCUCUGAUUAGUGGUACUAUGACUCCUUCUAGACCUCCUGAUUAGUGGUUCUACGACUCCUUCUAGACCUCCUGAUUAGUGGUACCAAGACUCCUUCUAGACCUCCUGAUUAGUGGUACUAUGACUCCUUCUAGACCUCCUGAUUAGUGGUACUAUGACUCCUUCUAGACCUCCUGAUUAGUGGUACCAAGACUCCUUCUAGACCUCCUGAUUAGUGGUACUAUGACUCCUUCUAGACCUCCUGAUUAGUGGUACUAUGGCUCCUUCUAGACCUCCUGAUUAGUGGUACUAUGACUCCUUCUAGACCUCCUGAUUAGUGGUACUAUGACUCCUUCUAGACCUCCUGAUUAGUGGUACUAUGACUCCUUCUAGACCUCCUGAUUAGUGGUACUAUGACUCCUUCUAGACCUCCUGAUUAGUGGUACCAAGACUCCUUCUAUACCUCCUGAUAAGUGGUACUAUGACUCCUUCUAGACCUCCUGAUAAGUGGUACUAUGACUCCUUCUAGACCUCCUGAUUAGUGGUACUAUGACUCCUUCUAGACCUCCUGAUUAGUGGUACUAUGACUCCUUCUAGACCUCCUGAUUAGUGGUACUAUGACUCCUUCUAGACCUCCUGAUUAGUGGUACCAAGACUCCUUCUAUACCUCCUGAUAAGUGGUACUAUGACUCCUUCUAGACCUCUUGAUUAGUGGUACUAUGACUCCUUCUAGACCUCCUGAUUAGUGGUACUAUGACUCCUUCUAGACCUGAUUAGUGGUACUAUGACUCCUUCUAGACCUCUUGAUUAGUGGUACUCUGACUCCUUCUAGACCUCUUGAUUAGUGGUACUAUGACUCCUUCUAGACCUCUUGAUUAGUGGUACUAUGACUCCUUCUAGACCUCCUGAUUAGUGGUACUAUGACUCCUUCUAGACCUCCUGAUUCCUGCUGACUCUGUGCUUCACUGGUUUUUAGUUGCUCACUGAUCUUCCUGGAUCUUUUUCCAUCUUUGUCGAGUCUCUCAGUCAGAUGUUUCUCUUCCUCUGUUCAGUUCUUCUCCAUGUGGAGCCAUGAUGCAGACAUAGAUAGACCCAGUCCAUAAUUCCAGGACUGAGAACGUUCUGCUGUUCUCAGCUCAUUUAGAGCCAUGUUCAUCAGUUGGACUGACUGGAAUCACAGCUGGACUCGUUGGUUCUCUGAGUAACUACGUUGGAGUCUUAAUUUAAAUAUUGUCUCUAUGAAAUAUUUGUUUGUGAUUAUUCAUCAGAGGACAGUAAUCUGAUUACUGUGAGGUGAGUUUAGAGUCACUGAAAUGAUUUUAUCCAGGACCGUUCUCUGUUUGUGAUGAAGCUGCUGCAGAUGAAACAUUUUCUGCUGAAAGGAGAAAACUUUCCCAUUCUGAGUGAUUUCAAACCAAUAAUUCCACAUUUUUCUGCUAAUUCUGGUCAAUAGAAAACAAUGAACUCAUUACAGCUUCAUCUUCACUCUAAACGCAGUGAACUUUCCUCCAAAUGAAAGUCUGCGUGACGGAUAAAGACACAUUUACAUCACUAAACGCUGUCGGCUGCUGCUUCCAGUUGGAGUGUGUCAACGCAGCAUAAUAACCCGUUUACAGUUUGUUCUUGGCCCGAAAGCCGGCCAGAGGAGGAGGAAGAAAGCAGCAGCCAGCCCAGAGGGAUUAUGGGUGCAGCUAUUCUUCAUCUAUUGUGGCUCAACAACAGGCGGAGUGUGGGGUGGCAGCGUGGCCGGACGAAGAAUGGACCAGACUCUCGGAGGGACAGCUGCCAUGUGGCAGAGGAAGCCGAGGACACAGAUGGGAGCCGGGCCUCCCACCUGUACCUGCUCUGAAUGCUGCAGCCCGGCGAUUCGGCACCUGUUCUGAGCAGAUACCGGCCCGGCAGCGGCUCAGAGGGAGGCCGGUACCGCUGCCAGAUUCCAUUUAAAGCUGCAGAACGUAGAGGAAGGAUGGAGAAAUGUUCCUCCAGAACGCUCCGUAAACUCUCUAUAGCAGCAGCACAUGAAUGCAGCGUGGCCUAUUUCACUGCAGGCUGCAUUAGUGCUGCAUUAGUGCUGCAGCGUGGUGCCGACUGCAGCAGAUGAUCCCCAGAGAACCAGAACUCCUCGCUUGGACCACGACGUUCUAGUGUCCUUCCUAAUUACAGCCUGAAUGUUCCAUUUAACAGAUAGAACGUCUGAUCUGUUCCGUGUUCUAUGUGUUCUCAUGUGUUCUCAUGUGUUCUAUGUGUUCUCAUCUGUUCUGUGUUCUCUUGUGUUCUCAUGUGUUCUAUGUGUUCUAUAUGUUCUCAUGUGUUCUUUGUGUUCUCAUGUGUUCUAUAUGUUCUCAUCUGUUCUGUUUUCUCUUGUUCAAUUCAAUUUUCAAUUCAAUUUUAUUUAUAUAGCGCCAAUUACAGUCAAAUUGUCUCGAGACGCUUUACAGAACCCAUAUGCCUGAACCCCAGAGCAGCCCUAAGGAGACAGUGGCAGGAAAACACCCUUUUAACAGGGAAAAAAAACCUUGAGCAGAACCUGGAUCUAAUGUGGGGGAACCAUCUGCUGCUGGCUGGACGAGUUGAGAGGGACAGAAGAGGUAGAGAGGUAGAGAUAGAGAUAGAGGGAUAGAGAUAGAGGAUUGUGUUCUCAUGUGUUCUAUGUGUUCUAUAUGUUCUCAUGUGUUCAGUGUGUUCUCAUAUGUUCUCAUGUGUUCUUUGUGUUCUCAUGUGUUCUCAUGUGUUCUAUGUGUUCUCUUGUGUUCUCAUGUGUUCUGUGUGUUCUCAUAUAUUCUCAUGUGUUCUCAUGUGUUCUUUGUGUUCUCAUGUGUUCUCAUGUGUUCUAUGUGUUCUCUUGUGUUCUCAUGUGUUCUGUGUGUUCUCAUAUAUUCUCAUGUGUUCUCAUGUGUUCUUUGUGUUCUCAUGUGUUCUCAUGUGUUCUAUGUGUUCUCUUGUGUUCUAUGUGUUCUAUAUGUUCUCAUGUGUUCUCGUGUGUUCUGUGUGUUCUCAUAUGUUCUCAUGUGUUCUCAUGUGUUCUUUGUGUUCUCAUGUGUUCUAUGUGUUCUCUUGUGUUCUCAUGUGUUCUCAUGUGUUCUAUGUGUUCUCAUGUGGAAGGAGAACCGGGUUUUUUAAUGGAUGUAAUACAGAAAUAAACAGAAGAACAUUAGAGCUGGGACUCCCUGUUCUACUGUUCUACUGUACUAUUGUACUACUGCAGACCUGGGCAUCCUACGGCCCGCGGGCCACAUCCAGCCCGCCGGAUGACUCUGACUGGCCCGUAUGAGGUCAUUGGAAAAUAUUAAAAGUCAAUGCAAAUAUAUAUCAUCACAAUACAUGCAAACAAUACGCCUGCACUGCUUUUAUUUUGAAAGAUCUGCUAAGUUACCGUUUUUUCGCGCGUGCUUUCCAUACUUAGCAUAAGGUUUAUGCGCUGAUUGGUUUGUUGGUCAGCUUCAGCCCGGGAAGAUGUCAGCUAACGGCAAAGAAAGAAAAACUGAUUCCGAAUGCAGAGUUUUUAACAAGGCGUGGACUUCCAAGUAUUUCUUCACUGCAGUCAGAGGUAAAGCUGUGUGUCUAGUUUGUGGAGAACAGCUCGCGGUGCUCAAGGAUUAUAAUCUGAAUCGACACUACGAGACCAAACAUGCGGAGAAGUACAAACUUUUGACUGAUGCAGAGCGGGGAGGAUGUCUGAAGGUUUGCUAGCUAAACUGCUAAAGCAGCAAUGACUUUGUUUUACCAAAGCUGACAUCAAGGGAUGCAGCAGUCAAGACGAGUUUUCUAAUAUCCUACAAAAUCGCCAAAAAUGGUAAACCAUUCUCUGAUGGAGAGUUUAUAAAAGAAUGUCUGGUGGACUCUGCAGCGUUUAUAUGCCCGGAGAAGAAAGGAGCGUUCGUUAAUGUGACCCUUUGGAGGCGAACCGUAACGAGGCGGGCGGAGAGCAUCGCGGAAAAUCUGGAGCUUCAGCUGCACAACAAAGUGGACGAUUUUGACGUUUUGUCCUUGGCUCUGGACGAGAGCUGUGAUGUCCGUGACACAGCCCAGUUACUUAUCUUUGUAUGUGGACUAACAAAAACCUUUGAGAUGAGGAGGAGCUGGCAGCUGUGCAGCCAAUGAAGGAACCACGACGGUUCACUGAGGUAAAUACAUGCAUGAACAAGCUGGGACUAAAAUGGGAGAGUUUGGUUGGUGUUACAACUGAUGACUGUCCAAAUUUGACAGGGAAAAAUGUUGGACUUUUGAAACGGAUGCAAGAUAAAGUGACUGAAGUAAACCCAGAACAGAAACUGAUAUUUUUGCACUGUAUUAUACAUCAGGAGGUGCUGUGUAAGUCAGUGCUAAAAAUCAACCACGUGACUGAUGUUGUAACUAAAGCAGUUAACUUCAUCAGGGCAAGAGCAUUGAAUUACAGACAGUUUGUUGUCUUUGUGGAGGAGAUGAUAGUGAACAUGGUAACCUUGGUUACCAGACAGCUGUCAGAUGGAUCAGCCUGGACAAGAUGCUUAAACGAGUUUGGGAUCUGAGAGCAGAGAUUCAAGAGUUGGACAUUGUACAUCAUUGUAUUGUGUAAUUUACUGUUUUUAUUGAGAUAUAUUGAACAUUGCUGUAAGUGUAGUGGGGAGCUGUUGUCUUUCUUUAUGCUUCACAGUCAUCUUAAUGUAGAUUUAGAAAAACUGACAACACCUCAUAGCGUUCAUGAUGAACAAAAACUGACAUGAUAAGGCAAGUUUCAAAUCUCUGCCAGCUGAUGGUCACAUUGUUGUAAAAUAAAUUCUGAGUGAUGGCUUACUUACUUCAUUUGUAAAAACAGUGACUGCUGAAAAGUAAUUAAAGCACUUGGAAAAUCA